rnacentral:rRNA from 1 species
UACAGAGGUCUCGAGCGUUGUUCGGAUUCAUUGGGCGUAAAGGGUGCGUAGGUGGCGCGGUAAGUCGGAUGUGAAAUCCCGGGGCUCAACCUCGGAACUGCAUUCGAUACUGCCGUGCUUGAGUACCGGAGAGGAGAUCGGAAUUUACGGUGUAGCAGUGAAAUGCGUAGAUAUCGUAAGGAACACCAGUGGCGAAGGCGGGUCUCUGGACAGUUCCUGACGCUGAGGCACGAAGGCCAGGGGAGCAAACGGG